rnacentral:rRNA from 1 species
GAUGAACGCUGACAGAAUGCUUAACACCUCAGCAAUUGAUUGGUGGCGGACGGGUGAGUAACGAGUAGAGAACUUGCCUCACAGCUAGGGACACCAUUUGGAAACGACUGCUAAUACCUAAUACUGUGAGAGAUCUUUGCGUCCCAUUAGCUAGUUGGAGAGGUAACGGCUCACCAAGGCGAUGAUGGGUAGCCGGCCUGAGAGGGUGAUCGGCCACAAGGGGACUGAGACACGGCCCUUACGCAUACGGGAGGAAGCAGUGGGGAAUAUUGAACAAUGGACCAAAGUCUGAUCCAGCAAUUCUGGGUGCAAGAUGAAGUUUUCGGAAUGAAAAGUGCUUUCAGUUGGGAAGCGGUACCAACAGAAGAAGUGACGGCUAAAUACGUGCCAGCAGCCGCGGUAAUAC